AUUGAACUCUGGCGGCAGGCCUAACACAUGCAAGUCGAACGAGUGGCGGACGGGUGAGUAAUGUCUGGGAAACUGCCCGAUGGAGGGGGAUAACUACUGGAAACGGUAGCUAAUACCGCAUACCCUCGGAUGUGCCCAGAUGGGAUUAGCUAGUAGGUGGGGUAACGGCUCACCUAGGCGACGAUCCCUAGCUGGUCUUAGAGGAUGACCAGCCACAGUGGAACUGAGACACGGUCAAGACUCCUACGGUGGGCAGCAGUGGGGAAUAUUGCAAAAUGGGGGGAAGCCUGAUGCAGCCAUGCCGAGUGGAUGAAGAAGGCCUGCGGGUUGUAAAGUACUUUCAGCGGGGAGGCGUUACUCGCAGAAGAAGCACCGGCUAACUCCGUGCCAGCAGCCGCGGUAAUUC
rnacentral:rRNA from 1 species